rnacentral:tRNA from 1 species
UCAGGGCAUAGCUAAACGAGUAUAGCCCCUCCCUUACACCGAGAAGUUGCCCGUUCAAGUCGGACUGCCCUGAU